UAUGUCAGAUUAUAAAAGUUAUAUAACUGUUAGUGUUUUAAGGUAGGUCCAAUGGCAAAAGUUGUAAUAUGCCAUGUAGUAAUCUAACACUAUUAAAAGGAGAAUAAACUCAACAUCUAGGCUGUCCACGUCGGACUAUAAAAUCGUCCAAUAAGAGGUCUCUAUUUUGACAUGUCACUAUGGCUGUGGAUUAUUCAUUUACGGAAUGGGCUGCAAUUCAUUUACGGUAAACUUAAUUAUGAUGAGCCCAUAAGCCCACUCCAACACUAACCCUAAGAUGUUGUCGUUGCUACAUGUUUCCUUCCCUACAACUCAGUCGUCUCAACUUCCCUUGGUUCUCUCCUUCCUUGCAACUUCAGAGUAAAUGAAAACCUUAUGACUAUUAAAUGGAAGAUUUCGUAAUCGUAUAGAUAUGUAUUUAGUUCGAUUGGUAACGUUCAUGCCGAAGAUGAACGGUUUGGAACUCCUAUAUAAAACGAAAUCGAAAACCGCUACUCUUCCAUUUCAUUUUGCGGUAUCAGAUCCCAGAGAGCCGCUUUAUUUGCCUGAAGGGUCUGUCUACUUUCAGAUUAGAAACCCAGAGCCGAUUGUAACUGAUGGAAACUUCACGCCUCUUCCCUCGCCGAUUCUGCCGGCGUAAGAGAAAUGCAAGAGGCCGUCAUCGUGGUGUUUGAUCGCUGUGUGAUAAGAAGGUCCACUGACUAAGACGAGGAAGACAACUUGAUGGUAAAAUGGAAAUGUUGCACGAGAUCCCUUAGGAGACUUUCAGCCAAAGGCGUUUAAUUUUUGAGUGUAACUAUUCCUCUCUUAGUUUCCUUAGGAAAUCAGGUUUCAGAACAUCAAUGGCCAUCUCUCCAAUUCAGUCUCUAGAUAAUAAUGAGUCAGUUAAUUACUUUGUCCUACUGUGCCAGAUCAGUAAAAUAGUUUAAGCAUUGAUUGUUUUUGUUUUUGGUAUUCCUUAUAGUUUAUGUGGACGUUUUAGUUUAAAUCAAGAGAAUCUAAAUCCUUCCGAUCACUAUGAAUCCAUGCUUUGGUAAGUCUUUUCUGGCUCCCUCUGUGUGUGUUUAUAAUAAUUUAUAGACAUUUUCAUAAUUUUUGAAGAUAUUUUUGAUGUAUUUUUCAUGUAGCAGUUUAUAAGAGUUCCUCUAAUAUAUGUUGAAGACAGAUGGAUAUUUGUGUUUGCUGUUUAGAUGAGCGACUAGCCGACUACGACACCGUACGCGUGAAGUUCUGGUGAUCUAAUUCCAGUUCACGUUAACUUAGCGGAGGAGAGAGCUUUGGAGAAGCUGAUGCUCUGCAACGGUGACACAUGGCAGGAGAAGUUGAGGAGGGGUUCGUUUAACUCGCUCCACCGAGUUUUCUCGAGUCAGUUGCCCCAGAGACGUAUUGGCCCCAGAGACGUUUGGCGCUAUGUCGGUCGUCCACAUCCUCUUCCCAACUCAUAUAAUCGUUGCUGAUUGCACAAAUCCAUAACCUCUCUUUGACAGGGAAAACUGUGCCACUUUUGUUCACUGGCCAGAAAGCCAAAGCCUUGGCAAGUGAAACAAUCAUCAUUACAAACAAAGAGCAGAGGAAUAUGGGAUCUGAGGGGUCAGGAGUUUCACCUAUGCCAGCAAAGGGCAUAGAGUACAGCCAUGUGCUGAAAUGGCUAAGCUACAAGCUACAGUGUGUCUGCAUUUUAUUUUACUCCCAAGAGAAAGAGACAGAUGAGGGGAAGAGUGGACAGCAGAAGCGGCAAUGUUUUAUUUUACUCCCAAGGGUCGCAUUAUCAAACUCAAAAAUUAACGCACAUAACGUUUGUGUCUUUCUUUCUUAUUCUUCUCUUCACACUAUGGGUUUUAGGCUAUUCUUGCGAUUAGCGUUUUGGGUCCACUGUAUUGACCGAGUAAUGAAAUCUUUCAAUAACUAAUACAGCUAUAAUAUAGUAUCAGUUCAUCUC